UCCAUCUGUUUUAUACUUCCAUGCUUAGAUUUACUUUUGAAAAACUAAAUUACGAUGCCUAAGACUCCAAAAGAAAAGUCUGCAAAAUGGAGGAAACAUAAUCCAGAACAAAACAAAACUCUUAAUGAAGGUUAUUCAAAAACUUAUUGACAAAGAUUAAAAAUUUCACUCAAUGGUGAGCAAAGGAAAAUAAGAAACACAAAAAAUAGCAAAAGGUAAAAGAAGUAUAGAGAGAAGAAGAGAACUGCUGGAUUUGAUUUACCCUAUAAAGGAAGUUAAUGGAAUGUAUAAAAAACAGAAUCUAAGAAUUAUUAUUGAAUUAACAAACUUUUUUUACUUAAGACCAUGCAAUGUUUUUUCAAUCACCAAAGUACCACAUAACGUUUGUGUUUGCGCUAUUCAUGAAAGUAUGCGUUUUAAAAUAGUAUUUGUUGACAGACAUUGACAUGCACUUAAACUUCAUAUGUGAGAAUUCGCUUAUUGAGUGUUUCAUGAACCAUUGCGAAUAUUGUAUGGGUGCACUUAACAUUCAAAUAUUGUAGUAUGAAACUGAGAGUUUAAAUAAACAAGUAACUUGGCAAAAAUGGGUUAAAACUGAAUUAAAAAAGAAUCGUCCUAACGUUUAUUGCAAUAUUGAGAAAGUCUCUAAGUCUGGGCCGAUAAGUGAAUUAUUAUAUGAGUUAUACAAACUAGUUCCUGAUUUUUUGGAUCACGUAUAUGUAAAAAUUAAUCAAGCUAAACUAUAUCGUCAAAUGAUUGAUAUAUGUAUACAACAAAAUUCUAACCAAGCUGUCGUAGGAGUUGAUUUUGCAGAAAACUUUAAAUGCAUCACUCAAAACGAAUCAAAUAGCGGCCAGACUCUAAUUUCAAUCUUCACCACAGUUGUAUAUCAUCGGUGCCAUUUGCAGUCAUUUACAGUUGCAUCGGACCAUCAAAAACAUUCAGAAGAAACCGUGGUUCCGUUCAUUGAUGUCAUUAUGGAGCAGCUGCCAGAAACAGUCCAACAAAUUACAUUUUAAAGUGAUAUUGCAACAUCUCAGUUCAAAAAUAAGUAUAUAAUGGAGUCUUUAAAAAUGUUACAAAGACAAUACAAGAUGAAAAUCAAAUGGGCUUUUUUUGCACCCAUGCACGGAAAAUCCGUUGUUGAUAGAGUUGGACGAUUUGUUGAAAGAUUUGUAAAGAAUCUCGAAAUAUCAAAGUAACAACAGCAUCCCAACUUGCAAAGGCAGCAGAAAAUAUGUAUGUCAAGGUUAUUUUGGUUGAUGUUGAUGAAAUUAAAAAACGCAAUGAAGAAAUUGGGUUGUCAAAAUUAAUUUCUUCAUCAAAUUCGUUACCAGGAAUAAAAAAAAACAUUUCGAAGUUUAAACUAUUAGCAAAAAAGAGAAAGUUAUUGAGAAAAUUAUUGGCAAAAAAAAUCGCACCUUGUUUGAUUUAAAAUAUCUCUUUGCUUAUAAAAUAACUAAAAUUUAUAUUAUGAAACUGUGAUUAGAGUGGAAAGAAAAUUUCAUUUUUGGGU